rnacentral:rRNA from 1 species
AUUGAACGCUGGCGGCAGGCCUAACACAUGCAAGUCGAACGGUAACAGGAAGCAGCUUGCUGCUUCGCUGACGAGUGGCGGACGGGUGAGUAAUGUCUGGGAAACUGCCUGAUGGAGGGGGAUAACUACUGGAAACGGUAGCUAAUACCGCAUAACGUCGCAAGACCAAAGAGGGGGACCUUAGGGCCUCUUGCCAUCGGAUGUGCCCAGAUGGGAUUAGCUAGUAGGUGGGGUAACGGCUCACCUAGGCGACGAUCCCUAGCUGGUCUGAGAGGACGACCAGCCACACUGGAACUGAGACACGGUCCAGACUCCUACGGGAGGCAGCAGUGGGGAAUAUUGCACAAUGGGCGCAAGCCUGAUGCAGCCAUGCCGCGUGUAUGAAGAAGGCCUUCGGGUUGUAAAGUACUUUCAGCGGGGAGGAAGGGAGUAAAGUUAAUACCUUUGCUCAUUGACGUUACCCGCAGAAGAAGCACCGGCUAACUCCGUG